UCCGGUUUGUCACCGGCAGUCCCAUUAGAGUGCUCAACUAAAUGGUAGCAACUAAGGACGGGGGUUGCGCUCGUUGCGGGACUUAACCCAACAUCUCACGACACGAGCUGACGACAGCCAUGCAGCACCUGUGUUCCGGGCUCCGAAGAGAAGGUCACAUCUCUGCGACCGGUCCCGGACAUGUCAAGGGCUGGUAAGGUUCUGCGCGUUGCGUCGAAUUAAACCACAUGUUCCACCGCUUGUGCGGGUCCCCGUCAAUUUCUUUGAGUUUUAAUCUUGCGACCGUACUCCCCAGGCGGGGCACUUACUGCGUUAGCGACGGCACCGGGAGGGUCGCUCCCCCCGACGCCUAGUGCCCAUCGUUUACGGCGUGGACUAC
rnacentral:misc_RNA from 1 species